rnacentral:rRNA from 1 species
GGUUAGAGGAGGUAGUAAAGACAAAUAUCGAUACAGAACUCAUUAGAGGUACUGUAAUCGAAAUGAGUGCAUUAUAAAUCCUACAACGAGGAUCUAUUGGAGGGCAAGUCUGGUGCCAGCAGCCGCGGUAACUCCAGCUCCAAUAGCAUAUAUUAAAAUUGCUGCAGUUAAAAAGCUCGUAGUUGGAUCUGGGUUCUGGCCUGGAAUAUCUUGCGGUUUUCAUAUGAAAUUCAUUGUUUACUGUUCGUUAUAUCUAGGCCGAAUCUUCCAGCUGUGUCUAUGUGGUGCUUCGGUACUGCAUGGAUAGAGGCGUUGUCUGCGAUUGCUUCCAAGCUUUCCAGUUUCGUCCCUAUGCACUGUUAAUGCCUUUAACCGGGUGUUCAGUGUGGACAGCACGUUUACUUUGAACAAAUUUGAGUGCUCAAAGCAGGCCUAAGUU